rnacentral:rRNA from 1 species
CUCAGUAACACGUAGUCAACCUGCCCUGGAGACAUGGACAACCCCGGGAAACUGGGAUUAAUCCGUGAUAGGUCAUCUCAUCUGGAAGGAGAGAUGGCUUAAAGGGGUGCGAGAGCUUCUUUUUCGUUCCCGCUCCAGGAUGGGACUGCGGCCGAUCAGGCUGUUGGUGGGGUAAUGGCCCACCAAACCUGUAACCGGUACGGGCCUUGAGAGAGGGGGCCCGGAGAUGGACACUGAGAGAAGGGUCCAGGUCCUACGGGGCGCAGCAGGCGCGAAACCUUCGCAAUGCGCGAAAGCGUGACGAGGUUAAUCCGAGUGGUCCCCGCUGAGGGGAUCUUUUGUCGGCUGUAAAAAGGCCGGUGAAUAAGGGGAGGGCAAGUCUGGUGUCAGCCGCCGCGGUAAUACCAGCUCCUCGAGUGGUCGGGGCGAUUAUUGGGCCUAAAGCAUCCGUAGCCUGUUCUGUAGGUCCUCUGUCAAAUCCAACGGCUUAACCGUUGGCCCGCAGAGGAUACCGCAGGACUAGGAGGCGGGAGAGGUGGACGGUACUCCACGUGUAGGGGUAAAAUCCUUUGAUCCGUGGAAGA